rnacentral:lncRNA from 1 species
GUUCCAAUGACCAUGGGUUUGCAAGUGUGGUGCCGCAGUGGUUGCCAGGAGGAUGGACAGGACCUGAUGGCCAAAGCCUUAGAAAUAGAGAGAUAAUCAUCCUACACCAGCCAUGCCUUAACUGUGACCUGGGCCGAGAUAUUUCAAAGGAGGAUGAAAGCAAUGGAACAUUGGCAUGGAAGAAUUCAGGGAGCUGAAGCAGAGACCAGAGCUAUUGAUGCUGACAAUGGAAGUGUGUUGGUGAUCCUGUGUCUUUGUUGGUUCUGCUCAACACAUGAAGCAGCCGUGCCCAUUCUUUCAGCAGUGAUCCAGAAGGGAGAAAGCCCUGCAGAAACCACUACAUUCUCCUAA